rnacentral:ncRNA from 1 species
AGCUGGUUCCCUCCGAAGUUUCCCUCAGGAUAGCUGGAGCCCAUUACGAGUUCUAUCAGGUAAAGCCAAUGAUUAGAGGCAUUGGGGACGCAACGUCCUCUGCCUAUUCUCAAACUUUAAAUAGGUAGGAUGGCUCGGCUGCUUCGGUGAGCCGUGCCACGGAAUCGGGUGCUCCAAGUGGGCCAUUUUUGGUAAGCAGAACUGGCGAUGCGGGAUGAACCGGAAGCCGGGUUACG